rnacentral:lncRNA from 1 species
GCCAACUCUGAGAUGAUAGGAAUGUUGGAAUUAUUAUACUGGUCAAGGUUGUAAAGCAGCCAUGACGAAAAUGCUUUGGUGACCAAUUAUGAACAUGCUUGAGACAAAUGAAAAAAUAAAAAGGAAAAAUUGAUAAAUUGGACUUAUCCUUAAAACCCGUUGCUCUCUUCUUCCUUCCUCCUCCUUCUCCAUCUUGUCCUUCUCCUUCUCCUUCUCCCAAUGGCAAGUAGAUUAUAUUGGCCUUGGGCUGGGACACUCGGGGGGAACCCACACCCAUGGUGUGUGUGUGUGGGCAGGACGAAAUUGAAGCUAUCUGAUGGUCACUUGCAGCAUGACACGUUCUGGCUGUGUUGGAUGACGAGUUGCUGAGGGCCUGGUUGGUUGGUAGCUGCAAAACCUAGACGUUCCUGCUGGCUGCAUCUUCGCGGGGAGCUGGGAUUAGGCAAGGAGUCUAGGGCCUGGAUGCAGAGCCUGGGCAUGCAUGGGGGUCAGGGAGGAUGGACCAGGGAAACCUGUGUGCUGGUUAGCAUGGUCUAUCUGCGGUUUCAAAGACAGAGCAGCACCAGAGGAGGAACCCUGUCUGGGUGUGCUGAAAGUGGCCCAGCAGAACAUAAGGUUGUGGCUGGGACAUGAAUGCACCCCAGGGAGCACUGAACUGCUCUGAGCUGCCGACUAGGGCCAUAGGCUAGCUAUGUGGGCCCAUAUUGAGGUAGGGGCUGAGCAGUCCCAGCGGCACCGCCCAGGCUGCCUGCUCUGGGGUCCCUGCAAAAGCCGCCGCUGAGCCCACGGACUUCCGGGUCGUAAGCACGUGGGGUCUGAACAUCUGCUUGGCUGGGUCAGCUGCUAUGACAAUGCCCGGGCGAUCGUGCCCUCCAGCGCUGCCUGCAUGCCGAGGAGGAAGCGAGUCCCCGCGUGAAUAAUCGGGCUCCGCCGGCUCACAGCGGAUGUCAGAAGUUGCUGGCAGAGGUGGUUGGGGCUAUGUGCCUGGAGUGAAGAUUCUGCCCAUUGGUCAAGAGACCUCCCUCUCAGAUGCUGGCUCUGCCCCUGCCUUUGGGGGUCGACCCUUGUACUCGCAGGACCUUAGGUGACUCUUGUUUCUUCUUUUAUUUCCCCUAUUUGUGAUGAUCGGAAAGGUGAAAAACCUGGAGGCCUUUUCAUCAGUGAGAUCUAAACAGAAAAUAUUAAGAUGAAUGUAUUACUGCAAAAAUCAUGCUAUCGAUGAGGGAAAAAAACACUGAGAUCCGGCAAUGCUAUCUUAGUUUACAAUGGGGGAGGUGUUUGCCAGAUUUUAAAUACUAUAUUAACAUUCCAGAAAGGAUGAAUAAUUUUUUUGUCUUUUGAUUGAUCUUAAAAUUUGUGGACAUUAAUUAUUGUUCUUAAUAAUACCAUAAAAUAGCCAGGCAUGGUGGCUCACACCUGUAAUCUCAGCACUUUGGGAGACCAAGGCGAGCAGAUCACUUGAGGUCAGGAGUUUGAGACUUUGUCAAAGGAAAAAUUUCUGCAUGUGCACACACAGAUCUUGGAAGUUUAUUCAUCUCAGCAGAGGCAGACAGGAGCAUCAACAGCCUUGGGGACAGCAGCAGUGGUGGCAGGGCAAAAUAAAACUUAUAUGAAACUGCCAUCACUAAUGUGUGAAAAUGGAAGAUUCAGGAAGUGUUUCAUAUCUGAAAUAUGAACCCAAUGUGGAAUCAACAUGCAUCCAAACAGGACUAAA